rnacentral:tRNA from 1 species
AAAGGAUUAGUUUAAAAAAAACAUUUAACUUCGACUUAACAAAUUUUAGUGAAAAUCCAAAAUCCUUUU